rnacentral:rRNA from 1 species
UCCUACGGGAGGCAGCAGUAGGGAAUCUUCCGCAAUGGACGAAAGUCUGACGGAGCAACGCCGCGUGAGUGAUGAAGGCCUUCGGGUUGUAAAGCACUUUCAGUAGGGAGGAAGGUAGUGUAGUUAACACCUGCACUAUUUGACGUUACCUACAGAAGAAGCACCGGCUAACUCCGUGCCAGCAGCCGCGGUAAUACGGAGGGUGCGAGCGUUAAUCGGAAUUACUGGGCGUAAAGCGCAUGCAGGCGGCCUGUUAAGUCAGAUGUGAAAGCCCGGGGCUUAACCUCGGAAUUGCAUUUGAAACUGGCAGGCUAGAGUCUUGUAGAGGGGGGUAGAAUUUCAGGUGUAGCGGUGAAAUGCGUAGAGAUCUGAAGGAAUACCAGUGGCGAAGGCGGCCCCCUGGACAAAGACUGACGCUCAGAUGCGAAAGCGUGGGGAGCAAACAGGAUUAGAUACCCUGGUAGUCCACGCCGUAAACGAUGUCUACUUGGAGGUUGUGGCCUUGAGCCGUGGCUUUCGGAGCUAACGCGUUAAGUAGACCGCCUGGGGAGUACGGUCGCAAGAUUAAAACUCAAAUGAAUUGACGGA